AGCUAAAUUCCUUCAAUUCAAGGAUAAGAACAAUCAUAUUAAUCAUCACCAUCAAGUAAUCUUUAUUCAAGAAUUCAAAGCUAGGGUUUGUGGGUUUAGUGGUGGUGGCUGAAAAUUGGGAGAAAAAGGAGGAAGGAAUUGUGAAUCUAAAACCCCAAGUAGUUGUCUUUCUUGUUGAGGUUGAAGCUUGUUGUGCAUAAUCGUUUUAGCUUUAUUUUCCAAGUUGCGGAGGAGGUAGUUCCGGAAGAGGGAACUAGGAUUGUUGAUUUGAAAGUGUUGAUUUAGAGCUUGAAGUGGUUGAAGUAAAGAUUUGCAAGAUUUGAAGGUAUUUAGGUCAUUCAUGGAUGAAUGACAAGCUUUUGGGUUUAGAGGCUUAGUUAUCCCUCUCCUUUUGGCUCUUGGUACAUUUUGGGUUGAUGGUCAUAUUUUGUUAUAUUAUGUAAAAGAUCAGGUGUAAAGCUUUUUAGAAAAGAUGUAAAGUUGCACUUUGGGCGAAAAUUGUGUCAAAAUGGGUAAGAUGACCCGUUUACUUGUAGAAACUUGGUUUGUAUAAAUGGAUGGUAUGGAGACUUUUGGAAA